GCCUGGGUGGCUGAGUCAGUUAAGCGUCUGCCUUCAGCCCAGGUCAUGAUCCCAGGGUCCUGGGAUUGAGCCCCAUCUCAGGCU
rnacentral:tRNA from 1 species